rnacentral:rRNA from 2 species
GGGACACGUGGUAUCCUGUCUGAAUAUGGGGGGACCAUCCUCCAAGGCUAAAUACUCCUGACUGACCGAUAGUGAACCAGUACCGUGAGGGAAAGGCGAAAAGAACCCCGGCGAGGGGAGUGAAAAAGAACCUGAAACCGUGUACGUACAAGCAGUGGGAGCACCUUCGGGUGUGACUGCGUACCUUUUGUAUAAUGGGUCAGCGACUUAUAUUCUGUAGCAAGGUUAACCGUAUAGGGGAGCCGCAGGGAAACCGAGUCUUAACUGGGCGUUAAGUUGCAGGGUAUAGACCCG